rnacentral:lncRNA from 1 species
GCCUUAUAACAUGUCUUUAUAACUGGCUGUGUAAGAAUGAAGAAAAGCUGUCCAUCUUCUGAGAAGCCCACUUCUCCACCAAGGUGCUCAGUUUUAGGAGUGGAGAACAGGGGCCACGGAAAAUACAUUGCUCCCCAGCUCCCAGCUCUCUUUACUUUCUCCCAGGAAGCAGCAUGUGCCAUCCUUCUGUCAGAAAACACCAAAGAGAUGAAGAAAUGAGAAAUCCAGAAACCAAAGACCUUGCUCUUUUGUCAAACAGACUUGGUAGAGCAGAGUUGCAAAAUCAGACCUUUGGGGGCUUGCGUGUUUCUCCUCUUACUCCCUGGUAAGCCCUGCCUUGAACUUCAGGCUGCCUGGCUUGGAUCCUGAUGCUGCUUUGCUGACACAAUCCAUUCUCCCAGGGAACACCCAGAGUUCCACUCCAGCCCUGGCAACGCUGCAGCAGAGGCCAACUGUACGGAAAGUCUACAUUGGCUCGGAACAAUUGAGGCUGGGAGAGGCUGGUGAUUUCCUGCUUGGUCGUCUUUUAAAACCCAGCCAUCUGAAUCCGAGAGUUGCUUCUUCAGCAAGGCCUCCCCUGACUCCUUCAGAUGUCUAAGCACCACCCCUACUCUUCUGCUGCAGCAUCUCCACUUGCUUUUGUCCUUCAUCUCCCUGAAAUUAUUUGCUUACUCAUCCAUCCAUGUCAGUUGCAAAAGCAUGACUUCCUCUAGUCCAAAGGCCAUUCAUGUUCAAUAUGUUAGCACUCGGAGCGUCUCCAGUGGUUGUUUCAAACAAGGCAAAUGAGUUCAGUUGAACUUUAUAUGUUCUGCCCUCCGACUGUGACUGUUAUUUACUUCCCUCCAAACAAAAUGUAAUAAUAAAAUGACUAACUG